AGGGCCAUAUCACGUUGAAACACCAGUUCUCUUACGAUCACCGAAGUUAAGCAAUGUUGAGCUUAGUUAGUACCUAGAUGGGUGACCGCCUGGGAAUAUCAGAUGCUGUAAG